AGUGAACCGUGACAGAACAGCAGAACUAACAAAAAAUGUGCACGGCGUGCUUUUUUCAGUAAUAAAGGCCGGGGGAGAGUUUGAACAGAGCGAGCGGGAGGGAUCUGCAGAAGUGUCACCCAACCAUGAACAGCUCCACAGCUGUGUGUCUGAAGAGCAGAACCAGAGAGGUAACACCACGAGACAGAUUCAUCUUAGCAAAGCAAACCUGAACGCUGUCUGCAGGAUACAAACCCUUCCGCAGAUGUCAAUAACAGUGAUGCAGGAUGAGAAUCACUGGCGAUAUUACAUGACGGCUCAUCCUCAGCUGGCAGCAGCGUGGUAUAACACGAUCCCAUCAGCAGAGCAAACAGACAGAUGAGGACGACGGUGAGAGGAGAGCAGACUGUAGCCUGCAGCUAUUGAAGCCGUCCACAUGGGGCCAGGGCUUAGACAGCUAAACUCUCUCUAGGGGUCCUGUGUGCUCACUCAUACACAUCAGCCACGGAGACAGCGCUGACAGAAGACAAACAGGAAGUGGAGAGCAGAGGGAAAUGUGAAAAUCCUGUCGAAAUCCAUAAAGCCAAUA